ACAUUCUGAGGAAGUGGGUGUUAGAAUUUCAACAUACGAAUUUUGGAGUGGAGAACACAAUUUAAUGCAUAACAGCUCUUUUCAUCUCUCAGCAAACUAGGUCUCAGGUCUGAAGUCCACUGCGGUCAGCCUUCCCUGGUGGUGAGCUGCUGUCAGAACCUCCCCACUACUCCUCUGGGUGGCCCCAGUCUUGUGCCUAUUUCCCUCUCGUGGUCAUCAAGUCUCGCCCAGAUGGAGUCUCAGUUUUAUAAGGGGGAGUUUCCCUGCACAAGCUCUCUCUCUUUGUCUGCUGCCAUUCAUGUAAAAUGUGACUUGCUCCUCCUUGCCUUCCGUCAUGAUUGUGAUGCCUCCCAGCCAUGUGGAAAUAGAAUUCCAAAAUUGUACGAGCUUCAGGCCCCACAAAACCUGGAUCCACCCUCAGAUUUCAUUUAUCUCGCUUCGUGGUGACAAAUGAACCUGCUGUUCUUGUCACUCCCCGGGUCCGACUGUACUCCCAAAUCUGUCAAGCGAAAAGUUUCAGAAAUGUUCGUUAUGACUCCUUGGAUAUUCUUAACUAAUAGGGCCUCUGUGAGAUCUGUACUACUAAGAAGUUUCACAAGUAAUUCUAAUAUUCAGCCUGGGUUGAAAACCGCCAUCCACCAUCCACGGAUGCUGUGCUUAGGGCCCGUGCUUCUCAGAUGGUGGGCCAUCACUCAUUCUGAGUUGUGAAAUCAUCUUAACAGGUCCCAAUUAGCAUUGUUUUAAUAGAAUGGAAUAUGUUACCUUGCAUCAUAAGGUUGGUGUGUUCGUCCCACUUUUGUUUCAAUAUCUACAAUAUAUAUAACUUAUACAUUGCCUUGGGUAGCGCAAUUCUGAAUCCUGUGGU
rnacentral:lncRNA from 1 species